GGGUCACUCACCCUCAUCCUGCUCAGCGGGCUCGGCUCGUCCGGCCGCGGGGAUAGGGAGGACCAGAGGACCACCAGCACCAGGAAGCUGCCCACCACCAGCAAACUGCUGUUUGGAGCAUGUAUCAUGUGCUAGCCAUUGUUUUAAAUGAUGGGAAACAGCAGUAAACUAGAGGAGCAGAAAUCCUUGUGGUCAUGGAGUCAGACAAUAAACAAGAUAUUGCAAUAUGUUCUAAUGGUCUGGUAAUCAAAACCAGAAUAAUGAUGAUGCCACAAUAGACCAAUGGAUUGAAAUAGAAGACCCCAAAGCAUUAGGUCGUCUCGGGAGAGGACACUCAGGCAGCUCUGGAGGGGCCCCUGUGACAAGGAACUGAGACCCACAGCCAGCAAGAACCCAGGCCUGCCAACGAACAGGUAAGUGAGCUUGGAAGGGGAUCUUCCCACAGCUGAACCUUCCAUGACGGCAGUUCAAGUGGCAGCUGAGCCAGAACCCAAGGGUGCCAUCCAGAGUUCUAAAUCUCAGGAACCGUGCGAGACAACGAAUGUUUGUUGCUUUGUGCUACUCUGCCAAGUUUUGGGGUAAUUUGUUACACAUUAGAUAAUUCAACCACAUAGCAUAUAAAAUAAAAUCAAUAAAACUAAUAUGGGUCAAUGAUUAGUAAA